rnacentral:rRNA from 1 species
UACGGAGGGAGCUAGCGUUAUUCGGAAUUACUUGGCGUAAAGCGCACGUAGGCGGCUUUGUAAGUAAGAGGUGAAAGCCCGGAGCUCAACUCCGGAACUGCCUUUUAGACUGCAUCGCUUGAAUCCAGGAGAGGUGAGUGGAAUUCCGAGUGUAGAGGUGAAAUUCGUAGAUAUUCGGAAGAACACCAGUGGCGAAGGCGGCUCACUGGACUGGUAUUGACGCUGAGGUGCGAAAGCGUGGGGAGCAAACAGG